UUUCCGUAGGUGAACCUGCGGAAGGAUCAUUAUAGAGAAUAUGCCCUUCGGGGUAGAUCUCCCACCCUUUGUUUAUAUUACCUUUGUUGCUUUGGCAGGCCCGUCUUCGGACCACCGGCUUCGGCUGGUCAGUGCCUGCCAGAGGACCCAAAACUCUUAUUAUUAAUGUCGUCUGAGUACUAUAUAAUAGUCAAAACUUUCAACAACGGAUCUCUUGGUUCUG
rnacentral:misc_RNA from 1 species